CUCCCGUGAGAAUGCCCUGUCUUCUCCACCACUGAAAGACAGGAGCGGGUUUCAGGCACAACACAGUUAGCCCAAAACACCUUGCUCAGCCACACCCCCACGGGCCUGUCAGCAGUAACAAACAUUGAGCUAUUAGUGAAAACUUGACUCAGUAACACCAAGAGGGCCGGUUAAACUCGUGCCAGCCACCGCGGUUAUACGAGAGGCCCAAGUUGAUGACGACCGGCGUAAAGAGUGGUUAAUUGAAAUUAAGAACUAGGGCCAAACACAUUCAGGACUGUCAUACGUUACCGGAUGAGGGAGGACCUCCAACGAAAGUGGCUCUAAACCCAUGAACCCACGAAAGCUAAGACACAAACUGGGAUUAGAUACCCCACUAUGCUUAGCCAUAAACAAAAAUAUACCCACACAUCACUAUUCGCCAGGGAACAACGAGCCUCAGCUUAAAACCCAAAGGACUUGGCGGUGCUUCAAACCCCCCUAGAGGAGCCUGUUCUAGAACCGAUACUCCCCGUUCAACCUCACCCUCUCUUGUUUUCCCC
rnacentral:rRNA from 1 species